rnacentral:lncRNA from 1 species
UCAACCUCGAACCGCCCAAACUCCACGCAACCGAUGUUCUUCACCUUGGUCUUCUCGUCGUGCUCCUUCUCCAGCUUCUGGUCGAUGGGCGCGAGGUCCUCGAUGGACCCGGCGACGUUGUUGAUCUCGUUGUACCUUCGCUUGAGGUUGCGCGUCACCUUGCGUCCCUCCGUGUGCGGGGCUCCGUCGCCGAGGUUGACGGAAUCUUUCCUCGGCGACGCCAGCGAGCCGGGUCCCAGGAGCGGGUCGCUCAGGUUGCGCGUCAUCCCCGGGUCCAAGACGUCCACGUUCGACCCGGCGACCCACGCGUCGAGGCGCUUGUCCAUCCC